rfam:Eutrema salsugineum unplaced genomic scaffold scaffold_3, whole genome shotgun sequence.
AAGCCGUGGUGUGGGCAUUGGUUGGUAUAGCUUCUAAACCGUUCCCAAGCUUCACUAAAGCUUUCGUUUUCAUGUUGAGUGAAACUAGAAAUAUGAUUCCUCAGCUU